rnacentral:lncRNA from 1 species
CCUGCUCCCUUUUGGAGUUUGGACAACCAGCGAACAUUAGGUUAAAACAGAGAUCUUGCAUAACCCAUUGCAGACUUGCUGAGUCAGCCUGUCACCCUGCACUGAGCACUCAAUCACCAGGACACAGAGUGACAGAUGGAGAUGCCACAGUUGUGAGUGGAAUCUGGAGAACUCAGUCCCAGGACUCACUUCUCCCUAUUGUUUUCCUCUGGAAAAAAGCAAAGAUUUCCCUCAAACUUCCUCAUAUACAUGAAGAGAAUUAGUAGCUAAAGAUGGAAGCAUAAUGCAACUUGAGAUGUGUUUCCAAGAUCAAGAACCAGAGGAGAUGGCAGCUGUGGGUCUGGUCAGUUCCUGCACUAUACCGGCCGUGCUGCCCCGGCAGUUAAU